ensembl:lncRNA
AGCAGCCCGGCUACUCGACCCUGGCACAUCACAGCAUCAAUGUUGCCGUCCCAUCUCGGUACGCAGGGGACUCGAGGGGUCACUGCCACCUGCCAGCCAUCAUGGAACAGCACGCUGAUGGUGAUGUAACUGUGAGGGAGACCACAGAUGUGCAGUGACCAGCAGCACUCUCAAAGCAAUCCGACCCCCCCGCCCCCCUCCCUCCCGCCUCGUGACCUCCAGCGCAGCGUCACACGAGAUGAGAAGCAGAAACAGCGUCUCGUGUUUCGGCGCCUCGGUGCCGUUGGAGACGGACACCGUUGACCUGCUGCUUCGUUUUCCGUCCACGGAGCCUCGUCUCGGCCGAUCGGGUGAGCGGCGGGAGGCUCUCCAGCUCGGCUUCCAGGAUGAAAUAUUCAGCAGGAGCUCGGUGGGGUUGCUUGCUGUUAGAAAUGGGCCUGAUGGGAGGACUUGUCAGGGCCGAUGGAAAGCGUCAUUCACAACAACAUUUACCCGUCUCCCCCUCUUUGUCUCACAUGCUACUUCAGAAAUGUGAAGCUCAGAGAAAUGCACUCCACAAUAACUGCACUCACGUUGCACUAGUGCUAAAGUCACUUUUAAUGCACGAUUGCAGACAUUUGUUUUUGUUGAAUUCUUAUUUAGGUCCCUAUGAAUGAGGCGGUGAGGACAUUCAGGCUCGAGUGAACCUUUCUAAAUCAACAGUCUGUGCCAAAAGUACCAAAGUUUAUUUACCCACAAAAGAGAGUUUUUUUUCUGAAUUUUAACUUAAAUCGCAAUAACUGUGACAGAGAGAUACUUGGAGGCAGCUGUUUGUAACUUGGAUUUAAGGAACACAGAAUGGUUGUUGCAUAGAGAUUAGUUAUGCUACUUUAUUGAUACGUGACCGGUUCAGUUAGAGAUGAAUUCAGUAAUAUAGAAUAAUGUUGGAACAUAUCUGACCUGAAACCUGAUAGAUGCAGUUUAAUCUAGUUUUGAACAUUUAACUAAAUCAUGUCAGCUAGCGCAGCAUAAGAGAAUAAUUCCCACUAAUUCUAAACUCCACAAAGUCUUGUGUAUUUAGGAAUGAACAAAAGAAAUAAAUAUUGACUCAUGUUUGAAAGUUUCCAUUGUUCCUCUCCGGCACUGAUCCAUAUUCGGUUUGGGGAACAGUUAUUUAAUCAGACCGCGACAAACACGAGGACACAGCAAACCUCACGUCCAGAGUUCCUUCAUGUCUGAAUACAUCACUGAAACACUUCUCUUGUGAGUACUAGAUGAAAGAUUCGCACAAAGAGCAGCCCCCCCGCCCCCGUGAUGGGGACAGCGGUUGUUGUGGGCGAGGUCCUCGGUAACAAUGGAGCCGAGCUUGUUGGCGUCCAAAGGAAGGACAACUCGUCCCGUUUUUGUUCCUCAGAUGAUUUGUUUGCGUGUACUUUAGUGAGUCUCAUGGCGGAUGCUGCUCCACAGAGCGCUGGGUUGUUUUGGGGCUGACCUACAGCUCCUAGUUAAUUACCUUCAUUAACAUCCACUGUCUGAUUUUAUUAAGAAUCUUUAAAAAAGAAAUACUCAUUAUUUGCCUUUAAAGGUUUGCCCUAUGAAUUCAGCUGCCCUGUUCUGGAGAGUCUUUUCUCUGGAAGUUUCCCUCACGUGAUGAAGCUCACGUGCUGGAGUUCACAUCCGAGAGCUGUUCUCCCUCUGAAGGCCACUCAGCACCUUUUGUUCAUAAGCGGAUUGUCUCGCCAUAACGCCGCCCUGCACGAGCGUCUCACUGCUUCCAGGUAGAAGCCAUAGAGCAGCAGCAGUGGUUGCAUUGCAGGAUGACCAUGCAGUCUGCAGGAUGACCAUGCAGUCUGCAGGAUGGCCAUGCGGUCUGCAGGAUAGCCAUGCGGUCUGCAGGAUAGCCAUGCAGUCUGCAGGAUGGCCAUGCGGUCUGCAGGAUGGCCAUGCAGUCUGCAGGAUGGCCAUGCGGUCUGCAGGAUAGCCAUGCGGUCUGCAGGAUAGCCAUGCGGUCUGCAGGAUGGUCUUGCAGUCUGGAGGAUGGCCAUGCGGUCUGCAGGAUAGCCAUGCGGUCUGCAGGAUAGCCAUGCGGUCUGCAGGAUGGUCUUGCAGUCUGCAGGAACGGUGUAAGUAGGUGAACUCCCAGGCCAACUGUAUAUGCCAACCCCUCAAGUGGCUUUUUUCUAAAAGAAGCCCAGGCGGCCCCUCAGCGCUGCGCUUUAUUGCACAAGUUCUGCUGUCCACUUUCCUCCCACGUUCUGUAUGUGCUCCACAGAGGAACGAAUGAAAGGAAUCCCAUGUUCCUGCAGUACGUGUCCCCGUGCAUAUUGAAUUAACACUUAAUUGCGUACAUGCAGACCUUCUCUAUUUCUCCCAGAAUCCAUUUCAGAAAAAUCUGGAUGCAGAGCCUGAGGAGCUACAGUAAGAAUGAAUAUUUCAUACUCUUACACAACCUCAGGAAGUCGGCAUAACCCAGUGCAGCUUCUGUUACCCGGCUACCCGAGACUAGCAGGAAUGCAGCAGCGCUUUUAUUGUCUCUAUUGCAGAGCACUUAACGGCGUCUCCAUGCCACAGCUUUUAUAGUGUCCCCAAAAACAUGGGCUGUGACUUCAAUUAGCCAAGUGCCCUGGACCGAGUGUGCGGAGCAUUAAGGCCAGCUGUCGGUACGGAGCAAGCGGAAAGCCAUUACCCCCUGUGAACUUACUUAUUAACCACACUUUUCCACGGAGGCCGUGGAGAGAAGAUGAGAUUUAGAUUUAUUUUAAAGCCUUAAGACAUUUUAUUCAAAUUGAAAUGUAGAAAAGUGCAAUACGAUUAUAGUGUUGAACCUUUCGUGAAGAUUUAGCUGUUGAGAUUUUCCAGACUGGACCAAAGUGGUGAAGCACCAGCGUUCCCCGGCCAGGAGCCACUUAUUGUUUGUCCUGAACCCCCACGUUGCUAACCGAUGCGGCAUCGCCUUAGAGAUGCGGCCCUGCACGGCCCCCAGGCCGUGUGAGUGGGUCAGUGGUCAUGGAGAUAAGUUCUGUCUCAGGUUCUCAGUCAUUAAAGCGCACACACACACACACACACACACACACACACACACACACACACACACACACAACUACUCUGCUAAUCAGCUUCAGAGAAAGCACGCUGCGUUUCACGAAAUUCCCAUUUAAGACAGAAACCCACCGCUGUCGGGCCCAAAAUUAGAACAUUCUGCCUUCCUGCUCAGAGCGGCGCGCGAGCAGUCGCUCGGGAGGAAGGGCAGGAGAUCGUGGGAACCCGGCGUGUCACAGCGGCCUCGGACGCGUCCAGAAAAGAAAAGCUCCUUCCUCACUUCAGCAAACGGGGG